rnacentral:rRNA from 1 species
GAUGAACGCUGGCGGCGUGCCUAAUACAUGCAAGUCGAGCGAACGGACGAGAAGCUUGCUUCUCUGAUGUUAGCGGCGGACGGGUGAGUAACACGUGGAUAACCUACCUAUAAGACUGGGAUAACUUCGGGAAACCGUAGCUAAUACCGGAUAAUAUUUUGAACCGCAUGGUUCAAAAGUGAAAGACGGUCUUGCUGUCACUUAUAGAUGGAUCCGCGCUUCAUUAGCUAGUUGGUAAGGUAACGGCUUACCAAGGCAACGAUGCAUAGCCGACCUGAGAGGGUGAUCGGCCACUCUGGAACUGUGACACGGUCCUGACUCCUACGAGAGGCAGCAGUAGGGAAUCUUCCGCAAUGGGCGAAAGCCUGGCGGAGCAACGCCGCGUGAGUGAUAAAGGUCUUCGAAUCGUAAAACUCUGUUAUUAGGGAAAAACAUAUGUGUAAGUAACUGUGCACAUCUUGACGGUACCUAAUCAGAAAGCCGCGGCUAACUACGUG